rnacentral:lncRNA from 1 species
ACUCCCGGAAGCCCCGCCCACCCACCGUAGUCAGACCAGGAGGAAUAGAGGCACUGCGAUGCGUCGGGACUGAAGAGGACGUCGAGGAUGGCCCAGCCCACGUCGCGACCCCGCCAGCAGCGCAGCGCCCGCAGCCCCGACCCCCGGCACGAGUAGACACGCAGCGUCUGGUCUGCAGCACCAAACAACCCAAAUCCCCGCGUUUCAACCCAAAAUUCGGGCUCAGAAGGUGAGAAAACCCAAAGCGUCUGGUCUGCAGCACCAAACAACCCAAAUCCCGACAUUUCAGCCCAAAAUCUGGGCUCACAACGCGAUGAAACCCUGAGGAUCUGAUAUGGGGGGGAAAAGGACCAAAUUUCCUGCAUUUCAGCCCAAAAUCGACCCAUUUCAGCCCAAAAUCUGGGCUCAGAAGGUGAGAAAACCCAAAGCGUCUGGUCUGCAGCACCAAACAACCCAAAUCCCCACGUUUCAACCCAAAAUUUGGGCUCAGAAGGUGAGAAAACCCAAAGCGUCUGGUCUGCAGCACCAGGUAACGAAAUUUCUGGCAUUUCAGCCCAAAAUCGACCCAUUUCAGCCCAAAAUCUGGGCUCCCAAUGCAAGGAAAACAUCAGCAUCUGGUUUGCAGCACCAAACAACCCAAAUCCCCACGUUUCAACCCAAAAUCUGGGCUCAGAAGGUGAGAAAACCCAAAGCGUCUGGUCUGCAGCACCAAACAACCCAAAUCCCCGCGUUUCAACCCAAAAUUUGGGCUCAGAAGGAGGAAACCCGCAGCGUCUGGUCUGCAGCACCAAACAACCCAAAUCCCCACGUUUCAACCCAAAAUCUGGGCUCAGAAGAAGGUGAGAAAACCCAAAGCGUCUGGUCUGCAGCACCAAACAACCAAAAUUGACCCAUUUCAGCCCAAAAUCUGGGCUCACAACAAAAGGAAACCCAAAGCAUCUGGUUUGCAGCACCAAAGAACCAAAAUCCCCACGUUUCUGCCCAAAAUUCGAGCUCAAAACGCGAGGAAACUCUGAGGAUCUGAUAUGGGGCGAAAAAGAACCAAAUUUCCUGCAUUUCAGCCCAAAAUCGACCCAUUUCAGCCCAAAAUCUGGGCUCACAACGUGAGACAAUCCGCAGCAUCUGGUCUGCAGCACCAAACAACCAAAAUCCCCACGUUUCAA